UGGGGAAUAUUGGGCAAUGGGCGCAAGCCUGACCCAGCAACGCCGCGUGAAGGAAGAAGGCUUUCGGGUUGUAAACUUCUUUUGUCAGGGAAGAUGAAGAGACGGUACCUGACGAAUAAGCCACGGCUAACUACGUGCCAGCAGCCGCGGUAAUACGUAGGUGGCAAGCGUUGUCCGGAUUUACUGGGUGUAAAGGGCGUGUAGGCGGGAGAGCAAGUCAGGCGUGAAAACUAUGGGCUUAACCCAUAGCCUGCGUUUGAAACUGUUUUUUCUUGAGUACUGGAGAGGUUGACGGAAGUUCCUUGUGUAGCGGUGAAAUGCGUAGAUAUAAGGAGGAACACCAGUGGCGAAGGCGGUCAACUGGACAGCAACUGACGCUGAGGCGCGAAAGCGUGGGGAGCAAACAGGAUUAGAUACCC
rnacentral:rRNA from 1 species